rnacentral:guide_RNA from 1 species
AAAACUAAAUUGUAUAGAUCAGAGAGUGAUGACUG